AUUGAACGCUGGCGGCAUGCCUUACACAUGCAAGUCGAACGGUAACAGGUCUUCGGAUGCUGACGAGUGGCGAACGGGUGAGCAAUACAUCGGAACGUGCCUAGUAGUGGGGGAUAACUACUCGAAAGAGUGGCUAAUACCGGAUGAGAUCUACGGAUGAAAGCAGGGGAUAGCAAGACGUUGUGCUACUAGAGCGGACGAUGGCUGAUUAGGUAGUUGGUGGGAUAAAAGCUUACCAAGCCGACGAUCUGUAGCUGGUCUGAGAGGACGAUCAGCCACACUGGGACUGAGACACGGCCCAGACUCCUACGGGAGGCAGCAGUGGGGAAUUUUGGACAAUGGGCGCAAGCCUGAUCCAGCAAUGCCGCGUGCAGGAUGAAGGCCUUCGGGUUGUAAACUGCUUUUGUACGGAACGAAAAGCCCUGGGUUAAUACCCUGGGGUCAUGACGGUACCGUAAGAAUAAGCACCGGCUAACUACGUGCCAGCCGCCGCCGUAA
rnacentral:rRNA from 1 species